rnacentral:rRNA from 1 species
UACGAAGGGGGCUAGCGUUGCUCGGAAUCACUGGCCGUAAAGCGCACGUAGGCGGAUCGUUAAGUCAGGGGUGAAAUCCUGGAGCUCAACUCCAGAACUGCCUUUGAUACUGGCGAUCUUGAGUUCGAGAGAGGUGAGUGGAACUGCGAGUGUAGAGGUGAAAUUCGUAGAUAUUGGGAAGAACACCGGUGGCGAAGGCGGCGACCUGGUCCGAUACUGACGCUGAGGCGCGAAAGCGUGGGGAGCAAACAGG